AUUGAACGCUGGCGGCAUGCCUUACACAUGCAAGUCGAACGGUAACAGGUCUUCGGAUGCUGACGAGUGGCGAACGGGUGAGUAAUACAUCGGAACGUGCCUAGUAGUGGGGGAUAACUACUCGAAAGAGUGGCUAAUACCGCAUGAGAUCUACGGAUGACAGCAGGGGAUCGCAAGACCUUGUGCUACUAGAGCGGCCGAUGGCAGAUUAGGUAGUUGGUGGGGUAAAAGCUUACCAAGCCGACGAUCGGUAGCUGGUCUGAGAGGACGAUCGGCGAAACUGGGACUGAGAAACGGCUCAGGCGCCUAAGGGAGGCAGCAGUGGGGAAUUUUGGACAAUGGGCGCAAGCCUGAUCCAGCAAUGCCGCGUGCAGGAUGAAGGCCUUCGGGUUGUAAACUGCUUGUGUACGGAACGAAAAGCCCCGGGUUAAUACCCUGGGGUCAUGACGGUACCGUAAGAAUAAGCACCGGCUAACUACGUGCCAGCAGCCGCAGUAA
rnacentral:rRNA from 1 species